rnacentral:ncRNA from 2 species
AUUUCAACAAUCGGAAAAGGUUUUACUUAGCUGUGGAUUAAUAGGGAAUCGUGUGUAAAUCACGAACUGUCGCGCAACUGUAAGUAACAUAAAGGUUUUUGUCCAUGAGCUCCACUGCUGUGCGGGAAGGACGAUAAAAACUGUUACAAGUCAGGAUACCUGCCUCUUCCGUAUUGACGAU